AUUGAACGCUGGCGGCAUGCCUUACACAUGCAAGUCGAACGGCAGCACGGGAGCAAUCCUGGUGGCGAGUGGCGAACGGGUGAGUAAUAUAUCGGAACGUGCCCAGUCGUGGGGAUAACGUAGCGAAAGCUACGCUAAUACCGCAUACGAUCUAUGGAUGAAAGCGGGGGAUCGCAAGACCUCGCGCGAUUGGAGCGGCCGAUAUCAGAUUAGGUAGUUGGUGAGGUAAAGGCUCACCAAGCCAACGAUCUGUAGCUGGUCUGAGAGGACGACCAGCCACACUGGAACUGAGACACGGUCCAGACUCCUACGGAGGCAGCAGUGGGGAAUUUUGGGACAAUGGACGCAAGUCUGAUCCAGCCAUUCCGCGUGCAGGAUGAAGGCCCUCGGGUUGUAAACUGCUUUUGUACGGAACGAAAGGUUUGUCUUAAUACGAUGAGCUCAUGACGGUACCGUAAGAAUAAGCACCGGCUAACUACGUAG
rnacentral:rRNA from 1 species